GAGUGAGAGAGCGAUUAUGCGUUUAGGUCAAUUGAGAUCAGUCAAAGAGAGACAGUGUACAGCUUAUCAUGUCCAAGGGGAGCAAAUCUUUUCCAUUUUAAGAGGUAUUUGCUGGAUUUGAAAAAAAAAAAUUUCAUAUAGGCUAUUCUAAUUGAUUUGGGGAAUUACUGUUGAUCACGGCCUUGCUCAGAAACUGGAGGAUCCGACCCGGGAUACAAUUCCGAUGAUUCAGUUAAGGACCCAAGUUACAGCACUCUUGAAGAAAUCCAUGCCCAGUUCUCAAAGCUCUCUAUCAAUAGUACAUCCAAGGCCCAGUUUUUGAUCUUGAAGAAGACCUUGAUGGGGAGUAGAUGAUUGCGCCUGAGCUUAAUCAGAAUGAUGCUAAAAGCUAUGAACAUGUCCAGAAGAUAAUUCAAGACAAACAGAUUGAGAAAUUGAAAGUGGAGCAAUGUAAGCUCUACUUGAGGAAGAAUGGGUUUAGACUGACUAAAGUUAGGGAGGAAGUUUGUUGUCAGAGCUUUUGUUGACUGUUGGCAUUAACAGAACCAAGCCAAGUCCUAAAGGUGAAAGACCCACAAGUAUUGAUAUAGAGAGCAGCAGAGAAAUAUAUGAGCUAGAGACACAAAUGCAACUUCUAAAAGUUCCUCACAAGAUGGCCAAAGGGAGAGGGACUGAUUACUCUUCAAAUGAGAAUGUGCCAACAUUGAUACAGUUAUUGGCAUUGAGAAAAAACCUAAAAACUAAGGUUGCGUUUGGUAUGGCUAUGCUUUGAAAAAAAAA